rnacentral:misc_RNA from 1 species
AAUCGUUGUUUUGAUCACUUGAUUUGUGUGUUUGAUAAGACGGUUGCUUCGAUAUGAUGUCAUAUUGUGUCCGUAGAAGUUGUUGGAACUGAGGUUUAUCCUUGUUUCCUGGGGUUUCAAUGAUUUUCUAAUCAGGUCUUUGGUGUAUAUUGCGAUUUCACUUUGCCCUCUGUUUUUGGUAAUGAUUCUGUUUUUAGCUUUUACACAAUGAUGGGUAAUUUGGAUCAAAAUUUAUCUUAUUUUUGUACUAAGGCAUACGGUUAAGUUUUUUUCUGGGACCUUUUAAAUCACCGUUUUUGGUUUUUUGAUUUACAUGAGGUCACAAAGUUGAAGUGGCCUUUAUUUUUCAUCCUUGG